rnacentral:tRNA from 27 species
GGCGGCAUAGCCAAGUGGUAAGGCCAAGGUCUGCAAAACCUUUAUCACCGGUUCAAAUCCGGUUGCCGCCUCCA